rnacentral:rRNA from 1 species
AACGAACGCUGGCGGCAUGCCUAACACAUGCAAGUCGAACGGGAUCCUAGCUUGCUAGGUGAGAGUGGCGGACGGGUGAGUAACACGUGGGAAUCUGCCUUUUUGGUUCGGGAUAACCGCGGGAAACUGCGGCUAAUACCGAAUGCCCUCGAGAGAGGAAAGAUUUAUCGCCAGAAGAGGAGCCCGCGUCCGAUUAGGUAGUUGGUGGGGUAAAGGCCUACCAAGCCGACGAUCGGUAGCUGGUCUGAGAGGAUGAUCAGCCACACUGGGACUGAGAUACGGCCCAGACUCCUACGGGAGGCAGCAGUGGGGAAUAUUGGACAAUGGGGGCAACCCUGAUCCAGCAAUGCCGCGUGAGUGAUGAAGGCCUUAGGGUUGUAAAGCUCUUUUGCCAGGGAAGAUGAUGACUGUACCUGGAGAAUAAGCCCGGCUAACUUCGUGCCAGCA